rnacentral:rRNA from 1 species
CAGUAGCCACGGGAAUACAGAGGGUGCAAGCGUUAAUCGGAAUUACUGGGCGUAAAGCGCGCGUAGGUGGUUUGUUAAGUUGGAUGUGAAAUCCCCGGGCUCAACCUGGGAACUGCAUUCAAAACUGACUGACUAGAGUAUGGUAGAGGGUGGUGGAAUUUCCUGUGUAGCGGUGAAAUGCGUAGAUAUAGGAAGGAACACCAGUGGCGAAGGCGACCACCUGGACUAAUACUGACACUGAGGUGCGAAAGCGUGGGGAGCAAACAGGAUUAGAUACCCCCGUAGUCCCUGUCUCUUAUAA